UCCCCUAGUAACUGCGAGUGAGUGGGAAAAGCUCAAAUUUAAAAUCUGACAGUCUUUGACUGUCUGAGUUGUAACCUAGAGAAGUGCUACCUGUGCUGGACCAUGUAUAAGUCUCCUGGAAUGGAGUGUCAGAGAGGGUGAGAAUCCCGUCCUUGACAUGGACUGCCAGUGCAUUGUGGUGUGCUCUCAAAGAGUCGAGUUGUUUGGGAAUGCAGCUCUAAAUGGGUGGUAAAUUCCAUCUAAAGCUAAAUAUUGGCGAGAGACCGAUAGUGAACAAGUACCGUGAGGGAAAG
rnacentral:rRNA from 1 species